GAUGAACGCUAGCGGCAGGCUUAAUACAUGCAAGUCGUGGGGCAGCAUGAGUAGCAAUACUUGAUGGCGACCGGCAAACGGGUGAGGAACACGUACACAACCUUCCUUCAAGCGGGGAAUAGCCCAGAGAAAUUUGUAUUAAUACCCCAUAAUAUAUUUGAUAAGGCAUCUUAUUAAUAUUAAAGCUUCGGCACUUGAUGAUGGGUGUGCGGCUGAUUAGAUAGUUGGCGGGUAACGGCCCACCAAGUCUACGAUCAGUAGCUGAUGUGAGAGCAUGAUCAGCCACACGGGCACUGAGACACGGGCCCGACUCCUACGGGAGGCAGCAGUAAGGAAUAUUGGACAAUGGACGAAAGUCUGAUCCAGCCAUGCCGCGUGAAGGAUUAAGGUCCUCUGGAUUGUAAACUUCUUUUAUAUGGGACGAAAAAGGGCAUUCUUGUUCACUUGACGGUACCAUAUGAAUAAGCACCGGCUAACUCCGUGCCAG
rnacentral:rRNA from 1 species